GAGUAAUGUAUAGGAAUCUACCUAGUAGUACGGAAUAAUUGUUGGAAACGGCAACUAAUACCGUAUACGCCCUACGGGGGAAAAAUUUAUUGCUAUUAGAUGAGCCUAUAUUAGAUUAGUUAGUUGGUGAGGUAAAGGCUUACCAAGACAAUGAUCUAUAGCUGAUCUGAGAGGAUGAUCAGCCACACUGGAACUGAGAUACGGUCCAGACUCCUACGGGAGGCAGCAGUGGGGAAUAUUGGACAAUGGGCGAAAGCCUGAUCCAGCCAUGCCGCAUGAGUGAAGAAGGCCUUCGGGUUGUAAAGCUCUUUUAGUGAGGAAGAUAAUGACGGUACUCACAGAAGAAGUCCUGGCUAACUCCGUGCCAGCAGCCGCGGUAAUACGGAGAGGGCUAGCGUUAUUCGGAAUCAUUGGGCGUAAAGGGCGCGUAGGCGGGUUAGUAAGUUAAAAGUGAAAUCCCAAGGCUCAACCUUGGAACUGCUUUUAAAACUGCUAGUCUAGAGAUUGAAAGAGGAUAGAGGAAUUCCUAGUGUAGAGAUGAAAUUCGUAAAUAUUANGAGGAACACCAGUGGCNNA
rnacentral:rRNA from 2 species